rnacentral:rRNA from 1 species
AACGAACGCUGGCGGCAGGCUUAACACAUGCAAGUCGAGCGCCCCGCAAGGGGAGCGGCAGACGGGUGAGUAACGCGUGGGAAUCUACCCAUCUCUACGGAAUAACGCAUGGAAACGUGUGCUAAUACCGUAUACGUCCUUCGGGAGAAAGAUUUAUCGGAGAUGGAUGAGCCCGCGUUGGAUUAGCUAGUUGGUGGGGUAAAGGCCUACCAAGGCGACGAUCCAUAGCUGGUCUGAGAGGAUGAUCAGCCACACUGGGACUGAGACACGGUCCAGACUCCUACGGGAGGCAGCAGUGGGGAACAUUGGACAAUGGGCGCAAGCCUGAUCCAGCCAUGCCGCGUGAGUGAUGAAGGCCCUAGGGUUGUAAAGCUCUUUCACCGGUGAAGAUAAUGACGGUAACCGGAGAAGAAGCCCCGGCUAACUUCGUGCCAGCAGCCGCCGUAAAAC